UACGUAGGGUGCGAGCGUUAAUCGGAAUUACUGGGCGUAAAGCGUGCGCAGGCGGUUCGUUAAGUCAGAUGUGAAAGCCCCGGGCUCAACCUGGGAACUGCAUUUGAAACUGGCGGGCUUGAGUGUGGCAGAGGGGGGUGGAAUUCCGCGUGUAGCAGUGAAAUGCGUAGAGAUGCGGAGGAACACCGAUGGCGAAGGCAGCCCCCUGGGCCAACACUGACGCUGAGGCGCGAAAGCGUGGGGAGCAAACAGG
rnacentral:rRNA from 1 species